rnacentral:rRNA from 1 species
AUCAACUUUCGAUGGUAGGAUAGAGGCCUACCAUGGUGGUAACGGGUAACGGGGUGUUAGGGCACGACACCGGAGAGGGAGCCUGAGAAACGGCUACCACAUCCAAGGAUGGCAGCAGGCGCGCAAAUUACCCAAUCCCGACACGGGGAGGUAGUGACAAUAAAUAACAAUACGGGGUUCUUUCGGAUCUCGUAAUUGGAAUGAGUACAAUUUAAAUCUCUUAACGAGGAACAAUUGGAGGGCAAGUCUGGUGCCAGCAGCCGCGGUAAUUCCAACUCCAAUAGCGUAUAUUAAAGUUGUUGCAGUUAAAAAGCUCGUAGUUGAAUUUCGGGAUCAGAUUGUCGGUCGUGCCUCGGUACGCACUGGCAUUAUUGGUUCCUACCUUCUGAAGAACCGCGAUGUCAUUAAUUUGGUGUCGUGGGGAAUCAGGACUGUUACUUUGAAAAAAUUUAGAGUGUUUAAAGCAGGCGCACGCUUGAAUACAUUAGCAUGGAAUAAUGAAAUUAGGACGUUUGAUUCUAUUUUGUUGGUUUCUAGGAUCGACGUAAUGAUUAAUAGGGAUAGUUGGGGGCAUUAGUAUUCAAUUGUCAGAGGUGAAAUUCUUGGAUUUAUUGAAGACUAACUACUGCGAAAGCAUUUGCCAAGGAUGUUUUCAUUAAUCAAGAACGAAAGUUAGGGGAUCGAAGACGAUCAGGGUACCGUCGUAGUCUUAACCAUAAACUAUGCCGACUAGGGAUCGGAUGAUGUUAAUUUUUUGAAUGACUCAUUUC